AUUGAAUCCAUUUUAGAAUAAGGCUGUAACUUAACAAAAUGUGGAAAAAGUCAAGGGCUCUGAAUACUUUCCGUAGGCACUGUAUUCCUGCUACCAGUCACUUUUCUGCCCUGUUUACAUGUAUAUUCUAUUACCAGUCACUUUUCUGCCCUGUUUACAUGUAUAUUCUAUUACCAGUCACUUUUCUGCCCUGUUUACAUGUAUAUUCUAUUACCAGUCACUUUUCUGCCCUGUUUACAUGUAUAUUCUAUUACCAGUCACUUUUCUGCUCUGUUUACAUGUAUAUUCUAUUACCAGUCACUUUUCUGCCCUGUUUACAUGUAUAUUCUAUUACCAGUCACUUUUAUGUAUAAACUCACCUUAACCUGUCAUGUAUUGUCAUGUUGUGUCUUGUUUCUGUCCUUUCCCUUCACCCUGUCUCCCUCUGCUGGUCGUUAUUAGGUUACCUUUUCUCUCCCUCUUUUCCCCAGCUGUUCCUUGUCUCCUCCUAACUACCUCGUCACCCCUUUUCCCACCUGUUCCUUGUCUCCUCCUAACUACCUCGUCACCCCUUUUCCCACCUGUUCCCUUUUUCCCUCUGAUUAGUCCUCUAUAUCUCUCUCUGUUCCUGCGUCUGUCUUUGUCGGAUUCUUGUUUGUGUUGUUCAUGCCUGAACCAGACUAUCGUCAUGUUUGCUGCAACCUUGUCCUGUCCUGUCGGAAUCUGCCGGUCCAUCUGAGCCUACGUUUGUUUUGCUAUUAAAGAAGCUCUGUUUACGUUAAGUCGCUUUUGGGUCCUCAUUCACGCACCGUAACAUAACCACUCCAGUACCCCUGCACAUUUAAUAAGGUACAGGCACUGAAUAGUAUAUACUUUCAUUCUUGCGUAUCUUUAACUCACAUCGUCGUUCUUGUGUGUUUUUUAAAUGUUUUAUUAUAUCAUUAUUAUCACUGCAUUGUUGGGAAAGAAUUUAACUGUACAGUUUUACAGCUGUCGUAUCCUGUGUACAUUGCGAAUAAACUUUGAAACUCGAAACUCAUUUUAAAUGGAGAUGUGUCCCAACCCUGUAAAACAGAAUGGAUUUGGACCUAACUCCCAACUCGAAACUAUGACAGAGAUGUAAAACUACAUGAGACUGAUCUAAAGUGAGUGUCCUAUAAAGUACUGGUGCUCUGGGAAGCUGUAAUGAUUGAAUCAGCAAAUCAACUAUGACUGUACCAGGACAGACCGUCCCCGGGAGGAAAGAAGAGACAUCACUUUUGUUAUGUGAAUGUGAGUGUAAAUAAAGUUGUUUUUUUUUCUCCUCAAAUUCAAAUUGCAUUAGGUUACAUUGUAUGGAAGUGUGUGUAUACACUGAGUUCUCAAAACAUUAGGAACACCUUCCUGAUAUUGAGUUGCACCCCCUUUUGCUCUCAGAACAGCCUUAAUUCGCCGGGCAUGGACUCUAACAGGUAUAGAAAGCGUUCCACAGGGAUGCUGGCCAAUGUUGAACCCAAUGCUUCCCACAGUUGUGUCAAGUUGGCUGGUAGUGGAUCCCCACUCCAAAUAUCUUUUUCCAUCUCAUCCCACAGAUGUUCGAUUGGAUUGAGAUCUGGUGACUGGACAGGCCACUGCAGUCAGCUGAAUCCACUGUCAAGUCCGUAGAACCAUUCCUGGACUAUCCUGGCCUGUGUGGCAUGGGGCAUUACCGUGCUGAAAAAAUCUAUUUGCAGAUACACUGCUGCCAGUAAGGGAUGUACCUGAUUGGCAAUGAUGUUCAUACUUGUAUAUCCUGUGGCAUUCAAACGUUUCACCACUUUUAUCAAGGGGUCGAAUGUGUGCCAUGAAAACACACCCCGCGCCACCACCACCAGCUUGCAAUGUUGACACGCGGCAUGAUGGAUGUACUCAUGUGGUUUUCUCCAAACAACAGGAACCGGGGAUUCAUCAGACCAGGCAAUGUAAUUCCAAUUCUCCAGCGUCCAAUGUUUUCGUUCCUUAGCCCACUGCCACCACAGUUAUUUGUUUUCUGCUGAAAGUAGUGGAACUCUGUAAGGUUGUCGACUGCCAUACCCCAUUUGUGUCAACGUACGACGAGAUGUGCAUUCUUUUAUGGGUCUUUGGGCACCAAUGUUGUACUGGACUGUCAGUUGACCAGGUGUAGCCCGUCAGUUGCUCUGCACAAUUUGUGUCCUCUUUCAUCAAUUAACCGUUUUCGACCACUGGCUUGCCGUCGGCUGUCUGUCAUAUGAGUGGUGGACCAUUCUUGAUACACAAGGGAAACUGUUGAGUAUGAAAAACCCAGCAGCGUUGCAGUUCUUGACACACUCAAACCAAUGUGCCUGCCACCUACUAACAUACCACGUUCAAAGGCACUUAAAUAUUUUGCCUUGCCCAUUUACCCUCUGAAUGGCACACAUACACAAUCCAUGUCUCAAUUACCAUAAGGCUUAAAAAUCCUCCUUUAACCUGUCUCCUCCCCUUCAUCUACACUGAUUGAAGUGGAUUUAACAGGUGACAUCAAUAAGGGAUCAUAGCUUUCACCUGGAUUUACCUGGUCUGUCUGUGGUUAUGGAAAGAGCAUGUUUUGUACAAUCAGUGCAUGUUAGGGUAGAGUGUUGACAAGCAAGUCAGCACUACUUUGAAUCGCUGUCUUAGGCAGCCCUUAUCUCUUUUCUCCCCCCAUGUACCGUAUUGUCCUGUGUACAGUAAUUCAUUAGCAAAGCAGCCUAUGACCAGAAAAGCCUUAUCAUGUCUACCAGUCUUUCUCUCUGCUUGUGUGUGUGUGUGUGUGUGUGUGUGUGUGUGUGUGUGUGUGUGUGUGUGUGUGUGUGUGUGUGUGUGUGUGUGU
rnacentral:lncRNA from 13 species